CCGCUACGUACAUUCUACGUACUUACCACGAGUUUGAUUUUUUUUAAACCUGGGAGAGCUCUUGGGUAAACUCGCAUUGUGGGGCAAGCCCUUUAGUUUAUUACUCUCAAAUGAAUUGACAUACAGUGCAAAACCUUUUGUUUUGUGCUAUCUAGUCAGCAAAAAGACUAUACAUAAUUACAAUCAAGCCGUCCAAAUUACAGAUAUAGGAUAAAGAGUGGUGGGCCGAACAGCCUGUUCCUGUGGUGCACUAUUCAAGAUUCAAGAUUCAAGAGAGUUUAUUGUCAUGUGUCCCAGAUAGGACAAUAAAAUUCUUGCUUUGCUUCAGCACAACAGAAUAUAGAAGGCAUGAAUACAGAACAGAUCAGUGUGCCCUUAUACAAUAUUCUAUAUUCUAUGUGGGGUUAUGUCUAUUAUUGUCAUGUGUACCGAGGUACAGUGAAAAGCUUUGUUUUGCAUGCUAUCCAUACAGAUCAGAUACUGUACAUAAAUACAAUCAAAUCCAACCUGAGUACAAAAGCUAGAGCAAAGGGGAAGAUACAGAGUGCAGAAUAUUGUUCUCAACAUUGUAGCGCAUCAGUUCCAGAGACAAAGUCCAAUGUCCGCAAUGGGGUAGAGGUGAAUCGGACAGCACCCUCGCUUAUGGAAGGACCGUUCAGAAACCUGAUAGCAGAGGGGAAGAAGAUGUUCCUGAGUCUGGUGGUGCGCUCUUUCAAGCUUCUGUAACCUUUCUCCUGACGGGAGAGGGAAAAAGAAGGAAUGACCGGGAUGGAAAGCUGUUUGAUUAAGAUGGCUGAUUUUCCGGGGCAACUUGAAGUGUAGAUGGAGCCAAUGGUGGGAAGUCUGGUCUGCGAGAUGGUCUGGGCUACAUCCACGACUCUUUGAAAUUUCUAGCGAUCUUGGGCAAUGCUGUUCCUAAACCAAGCUGUGAUGCAACCUGGCAGUAGUUUUGUAUCGUGUUCUGUUCAAUAACUGUUAUUCCAUUGUGAUUGGGGGGCUUGCUGCUUGCUGAUUAUCUGAUAUAUUUCUCUCUUUACAACAGUGAGUACCAUUUAAAAAUACUUCAUUAAUAUUGACAUCCAGCAAUGGGUGUCCUGGGGUCAAGACAUUAAAGUUCAUUUUAUUUUUAAAUAGGGCUGCAACAAAAUCCAAAAUAAUUGCAACCUUUCCUUCUUUUUUUAAAUAGGGCCCAGCGCUAUAAACAACCAAAGCUCAUUAUAAGGACAACUGCUGGAUCAUGUGUCAGAAUGUGAACUUGCUGUGGUUUAUUAAGUAGAUGGCUGAAUGACCAUACUUCUGCUAUGGAGAUGCAUCGAGAGAACAGUUAUACAAGAGGCUAGCACACAACAUGGCUGAGAGGACUUCACUGAUGCCUGUUUUACUGGAGAUUCCGAUGAAGGUUCUUUGUCGUGGAAAAUUGCAACAGGGUAAUUGAAUUUAGUGAGAAAAGCUUUAAGAAGUCUGAAGAAUGUACAGCUAAGUGGAUAGAAGUGGAAGAAAGUCUUGAAAGCAAAGUCCCUGCUGAGGUGCUGCAACACAAAGUUUCAGAACUCAAACUGAAAGUCAGGGUUGAAGAACCACCUGGGAUGUGGCUGACCUGCAGUGACCACAGCAAGUGACCCGGCAAAGGUGCAGCAAGAGGGAGCAGGAAAAGGGAGGUCCACGGGACAUCUUCAAGUGGACACUCUCUACAGACGCAGUCUCAAUAAGGAGUGGGUGAGUUGACCGCUCUUCACCACUUGUGGUGUUCCUCAGCUCAGAUGCACAGUGGACUUGGAGUAUGAGCUCGAUAUAUGAUCGGCAUCUGAGUUUUGGCAUUGGGUAUGAAUGGCAUAGUAUGAUUAUUGGCAUUAUU